rnacentral:rRNA from 1 species
UACGGAGGGUGCAAGCGUUAAUCGGAAUUACUGGGCGUAAAGCGCACGCAGGUGGCUGAGUAAGUCGAUUGUGAAAGCCCUGGGCUUAACCUGGGAAUUGCAGUCGAUACUGCUCGGCUAGAGUAUGGGAGAGGGUAGUGGAAUUCCCGGUGUAGCGGUGAAAUGCGUAGAUAUCGGGAGGAAUACCGAUGGCGAAGGCAGGUCUCUGGGCUGACACUGACGCUCAUGCACGAAAGCGUGGGGAGCAAACAGG